GAUGAACGCUAGCUACAGGCUUAACACAUGCAAGUCGAGGGGCAGCGCAGUGUAGCAAUACAUGGGCGGCGACCGGCGCACGGGUGCGUAACGCGUAUCCAACCUUCCCGUUACUCAGGGAUAGCCUUCCGAAAGGGAGAUUAAUACCUGAUGGUGUUUGAAUUCCGCAUGUUAUUCAAACUAAAGAUUUAUCGGUAACGGAUGGGGAUGCGUGACAUUAGAUAGUAGGCGGGGUAACGGCCCACCUAGUCUACGAUGUCUAGGGGUUCUGAGAGGAAGGUCCCCCACACUGGAACUGAGACACGGUCCAGACUCCUACGGGAGGCAGCAGUGAGGAAUAUUGGUCAAUGGCCGGAAGGCUGAACCAGCCAAGUAGCGUGAAGGAUGAAGGUUCUAUGGAUUGUAAACUUCUUUUAUACGGGAUAAAACCUCCACGUGUGGGAGCUUGUAUGUACCGUAUGAAUAAGCAUCGGCUAACUCCGUG
rnacentral:rRNA from 1 species